ACUGAACGGCACUGUUCUGUCUGCUAAAACAAGGAGUAAACCAUCAGGUGGAGAUCAUCAGGUGAAGAAGAUUCCUGCCAUGUUCCCUUCCUCCACCACCAAACCCACAUCUCAAAGGAACCACACACAGGUUGCCAGUUAACACUGAGUGAGGCAAAGAAAUAGUGUGCGAGACUGUGAGAGGAA